AGAGUUCGUAAUUGUCUCGUCGCCGCCAUGUUUC
rnacentral:sRNA from 1 species